CCUUGAUGUCUUGUUAAUCAAGAGGCCAAAUGGAGUUUGUCCGGCUUUCCCAGCUAAGGGAGAGUCUUAUUCAUAUGGGAAACAAGGCUGGGUAAUUAAGGAGACAAAAGGGAGAAUUUAAAAAUAACGAGUUAGAGUAAAAACAAGGUUAGGCAUUACAACAGUAAGUUAUAUUAAGACAAUAUUUUGGCCGGGCGUGGUGGCUCACGCCUGUAAUACCUAGCACUUUGGGAGGCCGAGGCGGGCAGAUCACGAGGUCAGGAGAUCAAGACCGUCCUGGCUAACACUGUGAAACACCAUCUCUGCUAAAAAUACAAAAAAUUAGCUGGGCGUGGCAGGGGGCGCCUGUAGUCCCAGCUGCUCGGGAGGCUGAGGCAGGAGAAUGGCGUGAACCUGGGAGGCGGAGCUUGCAGUGAGCCGAGAUAGUGCCACUGCCCUCCAGCCUGGGCAACAGAGCAAGACUCCACCUCAAAAAAAAAAAAGACAUAAUAUUUUUAAUGUUUUUUACUAGCUUAUAUUCUGUACAUCUUUUCACAUGUAGAAAUGUUAAUGGCUGGGCACAGUGGCUCACGCUUGUAAUCCCAGCACUUUGGGAGGCUGAGGCAGGAGAAUCACUUGAGCCCAGGAGUUGGAGACCAGCCUGGGAAACAUGGCAAAUAAAAACCGCAGUUUAAACUCUGAGUUUCAAUCAGAAACUAACAGCUCUUGGAUUUCCCGGGGCUCACACUCCUCUGAAACAACUCACGAAGAGCCUGAGGAAGCAGUUCUCACUGGUAGAAACAGAACAGAAAGCCAUUCUUGAUUUUGGUGACUGGAGUUUGUGGAGGCUGGAAGUCUCUGCCAAUAAAAGCACUGAACCAGACACACACCACUUACCAAUCAAGUUGAUUCUCAAUGUUAGCACCGUGGCCUGGCAAGAUCGGACGUUUUCCGAGGAACCCGACUGAGCUCCUGUGAGAGCUGCUCCCUGCACUGAUGUGGUCCCUUGGCUGGCAGGCUGCUCUGUGAUCAACCAGGUGACACCUGCCUGUUAUGAGGGACAGGUAGGAGAGGAUGGGCUUUCCAUCAAAACAAACAAACAAAAAAAAAAGUCCCAAGAAGGAACUCGGCCCUUCAGAGAUUCAGGACUCGGGAGAAGACUUCGUGGUGACAGUUGACGUAGAAGUUGACAGCCCAAACCCCACACCAGUUCUUAGAAGUAUUGAUCUCCAAGAAAGAGCAGAAAGAGCUACAACUCCUGCUCCCAGGGACUUACAGGAUCUAAAAAAUCUUUGUGCAGCCAUCUGGACCUCAGUAUGAAGUGGUGUUAAAAGGUGAAGUCCAUUCUUCAGGAAGUAAACCUCUGCCACGUGGAUCAUGCUCAGACAUCCUAUUGAAGUUUGUCCAACAAUUUCUUGCUUUGGAAGGUGUCCCUCUUGGUGGAACACAGUUUCACCUUUUGCUGGAACUCAGAGCUACAAAUGAUGCUUAAUGUACCAACGCCUUCUGACUGAGCUCCUCUCUGCCCUGAAUACAAGAGACCCUAAUAGUUAUGUGGAAAUAUCAUCGCCCCGUUCAGCAUGAAGAAGUUACAAACGACGGACCUUCAUCCUUCUGCAACCCUUAGGAUUAAGGGUCCUCUUGUAAAAGGGAGGGGAAAUAUGUAAGAAGCAUUCAAACCAGAGCGACUCCAUUUUGAACAAGGGCUAAGAAAAAUGAAGCUGGGUCCUGUUGGGCUGCAUGCCCAGGAGGUUAAGCAUUCUUAGCCUCAAGAUGUUUACAAUUGAGGGAACAGAUUAAUAAUGUUUCCUAAACAGACUCAGGACUUAACAGACUCAGGAACGUCUUGAUACUUUGAGAACAAAAGCACUUCUAGUUUUAAAUACGCAUUGUACCUAGGAUGGAUGCUUUUCUUACUUUUGGAAAUGCCCUACCCUGUCUAUGGAGUCACUAUUCAUUCCCUCCUUUAUUAAAGUUUCUUCUAUUUUGC